GCCACCCUGGCGGCGUGCUUCAUACAUGCAAGUCGAGCGGGGAAGGUAGCUUGCUACCUAACCUAGCGGCGGACGGGUGAGUAAUGCUUAGGAAUCUGCCUAUUAGUGGGGGACAACGUUUCGAAAGGAACGCUAAUACCGCAUACGUCCUACGGGAGAAAGCAGGGGAUCAUUUGACCUUGUGCUAAUAGAUGAGCCUAAGUCGGAUUAGCUAGUUGGUGGGGUAAAGGCCUACCAAGGCGACGAUCUGUAGCGGGUCUGAGAGGAUGAUCCGCCACACUGGGACUGAGACACGGCCCAGACUCCUACGGGAGGCAGCAGUGGGGAAUAUUGGACAAUGGGCGCAAGCCUGAUCCAGCCAUGCCGCGUGUGUGAAGAAGGCCUUAUGGUUGUAAAGCACUUUAAGCGAGGAGGAGGAGCUUCAGGUUAAUACCCUGGAUGCUUGGACGUUACUCGCAGAAUAAGCACCGGCUAACUCUGUGCCAGCAGCCGCGGUAAUACAGAGGGUGCAAGCGUUAAUCGGAUUUACUGGGCGUAAAGCGUGCGUAGGCGGCUAAUUAAGUCAAAUGUGAAAUCCCCGAGCUUAACUUGGGAAUUGCAUUCGAUACUGGUUAGCUAGAGUAUGGGAGAGGAUGGUAGAAUUCCAGGUGUAGCGGUGAAAUGCGUAGAGAUCUGGAGGAAUACCGAUGGCGA
rnacentral:rRNA from 1 species